UACGGGAGGCAGCAGUGGGGAAUAUUGCACAAUGGGCGCAAGCCUGAUGCAGCCAUGCCGCGUGUAUGAAGAAGGCCUUCGGGUUGUAAAGUACUUUCAGUCGUGAGGAAGGUGUUAAGGUUAAUAACCUUAGCAAUUGACGUUAGCGACAGAAGAAGCACCGGCUAACUCCGUGCCAGCAGCCGCGGUAAUACGGAGGGUGCGAGCGUUAAUCGGAAUUACUGGGCGUAAAGGGCACGCAGGCGGUUAAUUAAGUUGGAUGUGAAAUCCCCGGGCUUAACCUGGGAAUGGCAUUCAAGACUGGUUAGCUAGAGUCUUGUAGAGGGGGUAGAAUUCCAUGUGUAGCGGUGAAAUGCGUAGAGAUGUGGAGGAAUACCGGUGGCGAAGGCGGCCCCUGGGACAAAGACUGACGCUCAUGUGCGAAAGCGUGGGGAGCAAACAGGAUUAGUACC
rnacentral:rRNA from 1 species